rnacentral:rRNA from 1 species
UACAGAGGGGGCAAGCGUUAUUCGGAAUUAUUGGGCGUAAAGGGCGCGUAGGCGGCCUGGCAAGUGGAUGGUGAAAUCCCUCGGCUUAACCGAGGAACUGCCGUCCAAACUGCUUGGCUUGAGACCGGGAGAGGUGAGUGGAAUUCCCAGUGUAGCGGUGAAAUGCGUAGAUAUUGGGAGGAACACCAGUGGCGAAGGCGGCUCACUGGACCGGAACUGACGCUGAUGCGCGAAAGCGUGGGGAGCAAACAGG